rnacentral:lncRNA from 1 species
CAACAGACUGAUAGCGACGUUUGUAAUCGCCUGGUAGUGGGCCGUUCAAGGCCAUAAGGAGUUUGUUGCGGAGAGUAGUGGCGUCAGGGGCUGUUCAGAGCCACGUGGAGCUUGUCGCGGGGAGUGGAGUAGUGUCUGUUGUCGCGACUUGCCAGAGAGUGGUGGAGCCAUGUGGAAUCCGUCACAGGAAGUGGAGCAAAGUCAUGGCCAUUACUGUGGCCUGUCAGGGAGUCCAGGCCUGUCGGUCGAAGCUCGGUUGAGGUGUCUG